GAUGAACGCUGGCGGCGUGCCUAAUACAUGCAAGUCGAGCGAACGGACGAGAAGCUUGCUUCUCUGAUGUUAGCGGCGGACGGGUGAGUAACACGUGCAUCACCUACCUAUAAGACUGGGAUCACUUCGGGAAACCGGAGCUAAUACCGGAUAAUAUUUUGAACCGCAUGGUUCAAAAGUGAUAGACGGUCUUGCUGUCACUUCUAGAUGUAUCCGCGCUGCAUUAGCUAGUUGGUAAGGUAACGGCUUACCAAGGCAACGAUGCAUAGCCGACCUGAGAGGGUGAUCGGCCACACUGGAACUGAGACACGGUCCAGACUCCUACGGGAGGCAGCAGUAGGGAAUAGUCCGCAAUGGGCGAAAGCCUGACGGAGCAACGCCGCGUGAGUGAUGAAGGUCUUCGGAUUGUAAAACUCUGUUAUUAGGAAAGAACAUAUGUGUAAGUAACUGUGCACAUCUGGAGGGAACCUAAGAAGAAAGCCACGGCAAACUACGU
rnacentral:rRNA from 1 species